GGUUAAGUCCCGCAACGAGCGCAACCCUUUUCCUUAUUUGCCAGCGGGUUAAGCCGGGAACUUUAAGGAUACUGCCAGUGACAAACUGGAGGAAGGCGGGGACGACGUCAAGUCAUCAUGGCCCUUACGACCAGGGCUACACACGUGCUACAAUGGUCGGUACAAAGGGUUGCUACCUCGCGAGAGGAUGCUAAUCUCAAAAAGCCGAUCGUAGUCCGGAUGGAGUCUGCAACUCGACUCCAUGAAGUCGGAAUCGCUAGUAAUCGCGGAUCAGAAUGCCGCGGUGAAUACG
rnacentral:rRNA from 1 species